UUAAGUUCAGCGGGUAUCCCUACCUGAUCCGAGGUCAACCCAGAAAAAAAAUUGGGGUUGAGAGGCAGACAUUUAUCUGACAGAAGCGAUGAAGUUUCCUAGACGCUUGAAGCCAGGCAGUGUCGCCGUUGCAUUUGAGGCAUGUCCUCCGGAGAGGACAACACCCAAGACCAGGCCUACAAGUAGGCUUGAGUUUAGCA
rnacentral:misc_RNA from 1 species